rnacentral:lncRNA from 1 species
UUUGUGAUAUUUUGUUUAUUUAUUUAUUUAAAUUUAGUUCCAAUUUCAUUUGCUAAUCUUACCUUUUUUUUUGAUACUCUGUUAUAAACUUAAUACAUUGUCGACAAAAGAAAAUAUACACAUUUGCAUACAUUUUCCAGCCCAUUAACAGCCCUAAAGAUAUAUAGUCUUGGGUUUAGGGUUCAUUUCAUCAUUCUACCCUAUUCUCCGAUUCUUGCUUUUUAUUCUUACUAAGAAAGGUGAAGACGAGAUGGAGGCUGCAAACGCUGAGAUGGUGGCUGCGAACGCUGAGAUGGUGGCUGUGAACGCUGAGAUGGAGGCUGCGAUCUCUAAGAUGGAGGCUGCGAAAGCUGAGAUGGAGGCUGCGAUAUCUAAGAUGGAGGCUGCGAAAGUUGAGAUGGAGGCUGCAAACGCUUCUAUGGAGGGGAAUACAUUGUUGAUGAGGACCUUCAUCAACAUGUUGAAGAUCAUAAUCUGGUGGGACAUUGAAAACCUUGGAGUCGUUGAGAGAUGAGGGGUUUGGGGGUGAUAUUGAAAUUAGAAUUGUAGUGCCGUUCAGUGAUUGCGUUGUACCAAGUGUUUUGCUGGAAAAUAUGACGCUUUGUCGAGUUAAUAAUUUCCCAAGUGAGUUACUUUUAUAAAAUAUUGCUUGGUAUAACCUGGAAUGUGAUUAUCUGAUUAUCUUGCUUUUUCGGUUGUUUGUUUGCUGUUUCAGGACCAACAGAUCCAAUGGAUCCAUUAAAAUCUGAUAACCAGAUCUCGGACGAUUAUAUCAUCGAUGACAUCCAAAAAAUGAUCGAUGC